UACUCCUGUGGCAAUGAGCAAAGAAACACCUUACUGGUGGUAUGGUUCUUAUAUGAGUCAGGGGCAGAGCAAAUGUCAGUUUGUUCAUCCUAGGUUGAUGUUUGGCUUGGUGGCCAAAAUUGUUUUAUGCCUAGGAUACAUAA
rfam:Mus musculus chromosome 17 genomic contig, GRC reference assembly alternate locus group NOD/MrkTac.